GACGAACGCUGGCGGCGUGCUUAACACAUGCAAGUCGAACGAUGAAGCCUAGCUUGCUAGGUGGAUUAGUGGCGAACGGGUGAGUAAUACGUGAGUGACCUACCUUUGACUCUGGGAUAAGCCUGGGAAACUGGGUCUAAUACCGGAUACGACCAAUCUCCGCAUGGGGUGUUGGUGGAAAGCGUUAUGGAGUGGUUUUAGAUGGGCUCACGGCCUAUCAGCUUGUUGGUGAGGUAAUGGCUUACCAAGGCGACGACGGGUAGCCGGCCUGAGAGGGUGACCGGCCACACUGGGACUGAGACACGGCCCAGACUCCUACGGGAGGCAGCAGUGGGGAAUAUUGCACAAUGGGCGCAAGCCUGAUGCAGCGACGCCGCGUGAGGGAUGACGGCCUUCGGGUUGUAAACCUCUGUUAGCAUCGAAGAAGCGAAAG
rnacentral:rRNA from 1 species